GAAAUAAAAAAUAUAAAGCUUCUAACUUUAUUUAAGAUAUAAUAUAUCUAUAUUUCU
rnacentral:tRNA from 1 species